rnacentral:tRNA from 1 species
GGGCUGAUAGUUUAGACUGGUAGAAUAUCCGCCUUGCACGCGAAUGGUCGAGGGUUCAAAUCCCUCUCAGUCCA